rnacentral:misc_RNA from 1 species
AAGGCCUCUGAAGUUGUACACCAGGAGUCCAAUGGUAUCCAGUCCGAACAGCAUCUGGAUUCAAGUCCAUCUACAGAUGUUGUAUCUUCUACUCAUGAUCUGUCAACAGAGGGCAGUGAUUCUGAAGGAUUGCCUUUAAUGAAACUCCGAUCAAGAAUAUCUAUGAUUUUUGAGUCUAUUUCAAAGGAUGCGGAUACUGGAAAAAUUUUGGAGGAUAUUAAAUGCAUUGUUCAAGAUGCUCAUGAUGCACUUCAGCAACCUACUGUCAGUUGUUUGAGCUAUGUUUCUGAAGUGCAAUGUCCUGAUACGACAUGUGAUAGGCAAGCCAAUCCGGAUGAUGCUGGUUUAGGAGUAGAAAGAGAAAUUUCUUUAUCCCA